AAACGUAGGUGGCUAGCGUUGUCCGGAAUUACUGGGCGUAAAGGGCGUGUAGGCGGGGGUGCAAGUCAGGUGUGAAAUACCGCGGCUUAACCGCGGGGGUGCAUCUGAAACUGUACCUCUUGAGUGCCGGAGAGGAAAGCGGAAUUCCCAGUGUAGCGGUGAAAUGCGUAGAGAUUGGGAGGAACACCAGUGGCGAAGGCGGCUUUCUGGACGGCAACUGACGCUGAGGCGCGAAAGCGUGGGGAGCAAACAGGAUUAGAUACCCUGGUAGUCCACGCUGUAAACGAUGGAUACUAGGUGUAGGAGGUAUCGACCCCUUCUGUGCCGGAGUUAACACAAUAAGUAUCCCGCCUGGGGAGUACGGCCGCAAGGUUGAA
rnacentral:rRNA from 1 species